rnacentral:rRNA from 1 species
ACUUAAGCAUAUCAAUAAGCGGAGGAAAAGAAACCAACAGGGAUUGCCCUAGUAACGGCGAGUGAAGCGGCAACAGCUCAAAUUUGAAAUCUGGCGCAAGCCCGAGUUGUAAUUUGUAGAGGAUGCUUCUGGGUAGCGACCGAUCUAAGUUCCUUGGAACAGGACGUCAUAGAGGGUGAGAAUCCCGUAUGUGACCGGCCCGCACCCUUUACGUAGCUCCUUCGACGAGUCGAGUUGUUUGGGAAUGCAGCUCUAAAUGGGAGGUAAAUUUCUUCUAAAGCUAAAUACCGGCCAGAGACCGAUAGCGCACAAGUAGAGUGAUCGAAAGAUGAAAAGUACUUUGGAAAGAGAGUUAAAAAGCACGUGAAAUUGUUGAAAGGGAAGCGCCUGCAACCAGACUUCGCGGCAGUGUUCCGCCGGUCUUCUGACCGGUUCAUUCUCUGUCGCGAGGCCAUCAUCGUCUGGGCCCGCCGGAUAAGACCUUAGGAAUGUAGCUCACCUUCGGGGGAGUGUUUAUAGCCUAGGGUGAUGCGGCGAGGCUCGGGCGAGGUCCGCGCUUCGGCAAGGAUGAUGGCGUAAUGGUUGUCGGCGGCCCGUCUUGAAACACGGACCAAGGAGUCUAACAUCUAUGCGAGUGUUCGGGUGUCAAACCCCUACGCGUAAUGAAAGUGAACGGAGGUGGGAACCGCAAGGUGCACCAUCGACCGAUCCUGAUGUCCUCGGAUGGAUUUGAGUAAGAGCAUAGCUGUUGGGACCCGAAAGAUGGUGAACUAUGCCUGAAUAGGGUGAAGCCAGAGGAAACUCUGGUGGAGGCUCGCAGCGGUUCUGACGUGCAAAUCGAUCGUCAAAUUUGGGUAUAGGGGCGAAAGACUAAUCGAACCAUCUAGUAGCUGGUUCCUGCCGA